rnacentral:rRNA from 1 species
UGGAUUAGUGGCGAACGGGUGAGUAACACGUGAGUAACCUGCCCUUAACUCUGGGAUAAGCCUGGGAAACUGGGUCUAAUACCGGAUAUGACUCCUCAUCGCAUGGUGGGGGGUGGAAAGCUUUAUUGUGGUUUUGGAUGGACUCGCGGCCUAUCAGCUUGUUGGUGAGGUAAUGGCUCACCAAGGCGACRACGGGUAGCCGGCCUGAGAGGGUGACCGGCCACACUGGGACUGAGACACGGCCCARACUCCUACGGGAGGCAGCAGUGGGGAAUAUUGCACAAUGGGCGAAAGCCUGAUGCAGCGACSCCGCGUGAGGGAUGACGGCCUUCGGGUUGUAAMCCUCUUUCAGUAGGGAARAAGCGAAAGUGACGGUACCUGCARAARAAGCGCCGGCUAACUACGUGCCAGCAGCCGCGGUAAUACGUAGGGCGCAAGCGUUAUCCGGAAUUAUUGGGCGUAAAGAGCUCGUAGGCGGUUUGUCGCGUCUGCCGUGAAAGUCCGGGGCUCAACUCCGGAUCUGCGGUGGGUACGGGCAGACUAGAGUGAUGUAGGGGAGACUGGAAUUCCUGGUGUAGCGGUGAAAUGCGCAGAUAUCAGGAGGAACACCGAUGGCGAAGGCAGGUCUCUGGGCAUUAACUGACGCUGAGGAGCGAAAGCAUGGGGAGCGAACAGGAUUAGAUACCCUGGUAGUCCAUGCCGUAAACGUUGGGCACUAGGUGUGGGGGACAUUCCACGUUUUCCGCGCCGUAGCUAACGCAUUAAGUGCCCCGCCUGGGGAGUACGGCCGCAAGGCUAAAACUCAAAGGAAUUGACGGGGGCCCGCACAAGCGGCGGAGCAUGCGGAUUAAUUCGAUGCAACGCGAAGAACCUUACCAAGGCUUGACAUGAACCGGAAAUACCUGGAAACAGGUGCCCCGCUUGCGGUCGGUUUACAGGUGGUGCAUGGUUGUCGUCAGCUCGUGUCGUGAGAUGUUGGGUUAAGUCCCGCAACGAGCGCAACCCUCGUUCUAUGUUGCCAGCGCGUUAUGGCGGGGACUCAUAGGAGACUGCCGGGGUCAACUCGGAGGAAGGUGGGGACGACGUCAAAUCAUCAUGCCCCUUAUGUCUUGGGCUUCACGCAUGCUACAAUGGCCGGUACAAAGGGUUGCGAUACUGUGAGGUGGAGCUAAUCCCAAAAAGCCGGUCUCAGUUCGGAUUGGGGUCUGCAACUCGACCCCAUGAAGUCGGAGUCGCUAGUAAUCGCAGAUCAGCAACGCUGCGGUGAAUACGUUCCCGGGCCUUGUACACACCGCCCGUCAAGUCACGAAAGUUGGUAACACCCGAAGCCGGUGGCCUAACCCCUU